GGAACGGGAGCGUGCUGCGGAGAAGGAAAAUUCCAGGGGAAUUGCCACGAGAGGAAAUACUUCAGAGGGGCUCCCCUCCAGAUAAGCCCUGAAUAUGCCAGGAGGUUUCAGCCGGGAGGAAAGGAGCUGUGGAAGAAAAGCAGCCUGAAAAUAGCCAGCGGGGAUCAUCAGGUUUUCCAGGCAAGAAGAACAAGGAGAGAGAUGAGGGAAUCGGGUUCCAAUUCCUAAUGAUUUGGUGGGUGCAGGAAUGAUUUCUGUGUGUUUUCCAGUCCCUUUUGAUUCCUGAGAUGAUUUUAAAAUGAUGGCUUUAGCAAUCAACUAAAUCGGAGACGUUGUUUUUGAGAGGAAAUGAUGCCAAAUAAAUGCAGAGUUUUGGGUCAGUUUUUGGGAUGAUUUGGGUCAUUUUUUGGGGUCAGUUUGGGGUCACUGUUUGGGGUGAUUUGGGUCAGUUUUGGGUCAGCUUUUGGGAUGAUUGGGGUCAGUUUUGGGUCAGCUUUUGGGAUGAUUUGGGUCGGUUUGGGGUCAAUUUUUGGGGAGCACUGGGUGCUACUGGAGGUUGUUGGGGAGCACUGGGAGAGAAGAUGAAAAAUAAAGAGAAUAAAAAAUAAACGAAAUAAAAAAAGGAAAUAU